rnacentral:rRNA from 1 species
CCAUCCUACGGGGGGCAGCAGUGGGGAAUAUUGCACAAUGGGCGAAAGCCUGAUGCAGCGACGCCGCGUGAAGGAUGAAGUAUUUCGGUAUGUAAACUUCUAUCAGCAGGGAAGAAAAUGACGGUACCUGACUAAGAAGCCCCGGCUAACUACGUGCCAGCAGCCGCGGUAAUACGUAGGGGGCAAGCGUUAUCCGGAUUUACUGGGUGUAAAGGGAGCGUAGACGGCUGAGCAAGUCUGAAGUGAAAGGCGGGGGCCCAACCCCCGGACUGCUUUGGAAACUGUAUAGCU